AAUCCUUGGUAAUGAGCCCGAGAACUAAACUUUUUCAGGCUGGGUGCCCUCGAGGCAGAACCGGUGAUAGAAGCAUUGGAAGAGACAAGAAACAAUGGAUAAAGGACCAGAAGGCUGAUCAUAUGCCGGUAUUCUACGGAAAACACUGUACGGUCUCUAAAAUGAACGUUCAGCCUACGUGUGGGUAUUAGAUCUGCCAUUGCUUGCUGCAAAUUACUUCACUUCCUGAAGUUUCAUCCUCCUUAAAUGGAGCCAGUGGAUAAUUAAAUACACCACCAACAAAAUUAUUGUGGAGAUUAAAUACAAUGAUAUAUGUACCUUUUCAGAAAAGUGCUAAAACGUAGGAGUUUCAAUAAAAAGUAAG